rnacentral:rRNA from 1 species
GAUGAACGCUGGCGGCGUGCCUAACACAUGCAAGUCGAACGAUGAAACCGCCCUCGGGCGGACAUGAAGUGGCGAACGGGUGAGUAACACGUGACCAACCUGCCCCUUGCUCCGGGACAACCUUGGGAAACCGAGGCUAAUACCGGAUACUCCUCGCCCCCCUCCUGGGGGGCCCGGGAAAGCCCAGACGGCAAGGGAUGGGAUCGCGGCCCAUUAGGUAGUAGGCGGGGUAACGGCCCACCUAGCCCGCGAUGGGUAGCCGGGUUGAGAGACCGACCGGCCACAUUGGGACUGAGAUACGGCCCAGACUCCUACGGGAGGCAGCAGUGGGGAAUUUUGCGCAAUGGGGGAAACCCUGACGCAGCAACGCCGCGUGCGGGACGACGGCCUUCGGGUUGUAAACCGCUUUCAGCAGGGAAGAAAUUCGACGGUA